rnacentral:rRNA from 1 species
AAUACGGAGGGUGCGAGCGUUAAUCGGAAUUACUGGGCGUAAAGCGCAUGCAGGUGGUUUGUUAAGUCAGAUGUGAAAGCCCCGGGGCUCAACCUCGGAAUUGCAUUUGAAACUGGCAAACUAGAGUACUGUAGAGGGGGGUAGAAUUUCAGGUGUAGCGGUGAAAUGCGUAGAGAUCUGAAGGAAUACCGGUGGCGAAGGCGGCCCCCUGGACAGAUACUGACACUCAGAUGCGAAAGCGUGGGGAGCAAACAGGAUUAGAUACCCUGGUAG